CUUUCUGCUACAGUUUUGUUUCUCAGAUUCCAUAGGCAUGUCAUUACAGAUUCCAGUAGAGCUUUGCCAGUUAGUUGUGCUUUUCUCUUGCAUUUUUGCAGGUUGAUGGUAAAUGUAAGAAUAACUGGGAUGUUUAUACCCGCAAUUCAGGGAGGCAGAAUAAUUGAUGGAAGCAAUGGAGAUGUUGCAGUGGACCACUAUAAUCAUGAUCUUGUACCUACUGACAUGAUAAAGUAUGUGGUUGGAUUAAUUAAGAAGGCAGCAACCAUGCUCUCCUCUUCGUGCAGAUCAUAAGUCAAUUAUUAUGCGGAAAAAUAUGUGCCUGUUGUUAGUUUUUUAUGCAUAUGAUAAAAAAUCUAGAAUGCAUAUUGAAAACUUGAUACCUGUGUCAAAUAAAAUUAGCCGACCGCCAUAUAUGUUAAUAAAUAUAUAAAAAAAAUUAA